UCGCACUAGUCGGGGAGUUAGCGGUGCCCUGUCGCUCGCAAUCCGCUACAGCGGGGAUGAAUCCCGGCCCGAGGACGUGCACUGUAUCGUCUGACCCCUGUAAGUGGUGAUGAGGAACCGGUCUUACGCAACGGGAACCUGUGAACCAUGUCAGGCGGGGAACCGAGCAGCAUUCAGCAGGACCUCCCGUGUGCCGUGAGGGAGCCGUUUCUGAGCAGGCUGCGGGGGUAACGGGUAUAGUGUGCGAUUCAGAGGCCGGUGUGCGA
rnacentral:SRP_RNA from 1 species